UUUUGGGCGUUAAAUGUCGUUAGCAAGUGUGAUUAUUUCAUUAUAUUCACCUCUAAUUUCUUUAACCCAUUUGAAAUCUUCAGGAGUAGAAAGUAAUUUUUCCAACAAUAUCAUCGUGUAAAGUCCUCGGUGUUGACGGUCUCUUCCCUGGGAAUCAGAAGUAAUUUUUCUUGAAUAGCUAUCUCCUAAAGCCCGUUCUCAGUGUCGACUGCUCUUUCACUGGGAAAAAGUUGUUGAUACAAGUAUAAAUACUCAUUGUGCCUUGAACACUAAUGAGCCAUUUGUGUUGGCAUCUCAGUCUGAACAAGUCUUCUACUUAGAAGACAUGGUUGAUAAAGAUUGGCUUGUUGUUGUAAAGAAAAAUCCUCGCGACCUUUUCAAUAUGCCUUAAGUUGAUGAUAAUUCUGUAGCAGUUGAAGAUGAAGCAUUACUGAAUGAAGAAGCUUAUCAACAAGAGGAAGUUGAAUUGAAUAUUUUGCAAAACAAUGACCAGGAAAAUGAUAUUGAUGUGGCUUUACAUAUGGACGAUGUUGAACCACAAAGUAUUGAUGCAAGUAUACAAGCUUAGACAAGUAUGCAUGAAAAAGAAUGUGGAAGUAGACAAACGGAUCAGCAUAGAAAUAGCCAAGAGGAUUCAAGAACAACUGGCUGCUAUCAUGUCUGGAAUGCAACAGGGACAAUGUUAUAACACAAUGGUGACAAUGAAGGAGAAGAUUGAAGCUAAGGCACUCAAUGUUUUACUUUUUGGUUAUAUGUAAAUACGUACAAUGACAAUGAAGUAUUACGUAGUAUAUAUGCGGAGGAACUUGAAGCUAAGGCACUCAAUAUUUUACUUUUUGGUUAUAUGUAUAUGCGUACAAUGAUAAUGAAGUAUUACGUAGUGUAUAUGCGGAGAAGCUUGAAGCUAAGGCACUCAAUAUUUUACUUUUUGGUUAUAUGUAUAUGCGUACAAUGAUAAUGAAGUAUUACGUAGUGUAUAUGCGGAGAAGCUUGAAGCUAAGGCACUCAAUAUUUUACUUUUUGGUUAUAUGUAUAUGCGUACAAUGAUAAUGAAGUAUUACGUAGUGUAUAUGCGGAGAAGCUUGAAGCUAAGGCACUCAAUAUUUUACUUUUUGGUUAUAUGUAUAUGCGUACAAUGAUAAUGAAGUAUUACGUAGUGUAUAUGCGGAGAAGCUUGAAGCUAAGGCACUCAAUAUUUUACUUUUUGGUUAUAUGUAUAUGCGUACAAUGACAAUGAAGUAUUGCAUAGUAUAUAUGUAACUCAACUUUUAGUAAUGGAAGUAUUUAGUAUUUGGUUUAGGAAA